CCAUGCUCAUUGAAUGAAUCAAAUUGAACGGCCCUGAACACUUGAUGAACUCCCAUUCUCAGCUUUUCAAUUUCGUCCAAUAAGAAUUCUAAUUCCACCUGCUGCUCAAGAUUCUCAGUCUCCAACUCUGAUAUAAGUUUAUUCGACAAUUUUGAUGCCUCAACAUGUUUUUUGCAUUCAAUCAACAGAGACAAAUUCUUCUCUUCCAAAUCUUGUAUAAACUUCUGCAAGAUGAAGAUCUCAAACUGAGCAUUUGCAGCCUUG
rnacentral:misc_RNA from 1 species